rnacentral:rRNA from 1 species
CGCAUAACGUCUUCGGACCAAAGUGGGGGACCUUCGGGCCUCACACCAUCGGAUGUGCCCAAAUGGGAUUAGCUAGUAGGUGGGGUAAUGGCUCACCUAGGCGACGAUCCCUAGCUGGUCUGAGAGGAUGACCAGCCACACUGGAACUGAGACACGGUCCAUACUCCUACGGGAGGCAGCAAUGGGGAAUAUUGCACAAUGGGCGCAAGCCUGAUGCAGCCAUGCCGCGUGUAUGAAGAAGGCCUUCGGGUUGUAAAGUACUUUCAGCGGGGAGGAAGGCGAUGGAGUUAAUAGCUUCAAUCGAUUGACGUUACCCGCAGAAGAAGCCACCGGCUAAACUCCGUGCCCAGCAGCCGCGGUAAUACGGAGGGUGCAAGCGUUAAUCGGAAAUUACUGGGCGUAAAGCGCACGCAGGCGGUCUGUCAAAGUCGGAUGUGAAAUCCCCGGGCUUAACCUGGGAACUGCAUUCGAAAACUGGCAGGGCUAGAGUCUUGUAGAGGGGGGUAGGAAUUCCAGGGUGUAGCGGUGAAAUGCGUAGAGAUCUGGAGGAAUACCGGUGGCGAAGGCGGGCCCCCUGGACAAAGACUGACGCUCAGGUGCGAAAAGCGUGGGGAGCAAACAGGGAUUAGAUACCCUGGUAGUCCACGCCGUAAACGAUGUCGACUUGGAGGUUGUGCCCUUGAGGCGUGGCUUCCGGAGCUAACGCGUUAAGUCGACCGCCUGGGGAGUACGGCCGCAAGGUUAAAACUCAAAUGAAUUGACGGGGGCCCGCACAAGCGGUGGAGCAUGUGGUUUAAAUUCGAUGCAACGCCGAAGAACCUUAACCUACUCUUGACAUCCCAGAGGAAUUUUGGCAGAGGAUGGCUUUAGUGCCUUCGGGAACUCUGAGGACAGGUGCUGCCAUGGCUUGGUCGGUCAGCUCCGUGUUGUGAAAUGUUGGGUUAAG